rnacentral:lncRNA from 1 species
CCGGCGGCUCCAGGGCGAGACUCCUCCCGUCCCUGCAUCUUCCCCCCCCGCCCUUUGCGCGAGUUUCUUUCUCCGCGACCCUGCCGCGCCUGUCGAGACUACCAGCCUGCCACAGCGUCUCCUUGCCGCCACUCGCUCCCCUCGUAAGCGGCGCUGCCCAGACGGCGCAUGGCAACAGCGCCCGGCUCAGUCCAACGCUGGRAACGCUGAGGUUUUGCUGAAUCGCUCAGUGGGCGAGCACAGACGUGCUGCCUUUGCAGCCUGAACUGUUCAUUCAUGAAGACAUAAUUAUCCUCAGAGUCCCUCCAACCUUCUUUGAAAAUUAGCAUCUGAACACAGAUAAGAAAUCUUGCCCCAUUGCUGCCAGGGGCUCCACACUGAAGUCAACAAGGCCAUGCAUGGAAAUGGAAGRCCAGACAUAUGGAAAAACUUACGGGAUCAUGGCCUUGAUGAGAAACCAUUGUCCUUACUGAGCUCACUCAGCAGUCGGACAAGAAUCUGCAAUAAACUCUGUGAGGAAUUAUGGACCAUUGCAGACCUACUUCAAAUGACAAGUGCACUUCUUUCCAUAUAUAAAAUCCAAACCAAAAUACUCUACUGCUGCCAAUUUUCACUUUGGGGAGCGGAUGAGAAAAUCGACCUGAUAAUCACGUUGUUUAAUGCAGCACUAGUGAAGAACCUGGCAUAUAACCUGUAUCGGUCUAACUAGGUUAGACAAUGCACUGUGGAAUGAAGGAUGAUCAGAGUAUGUAUGUGAUCAGCUGGAAAGCUUUCUGAGUGGAAUCUGGAAGGCUGCAGAUUUACUAUUAGAAUUUUUAGUCCA